GAUGAACGCUGGCGGCGUGCUUAACACAUGCAAGUCGAACGAAGCACUUUAUUUGAUUUCCUUCGGGACUGAUUAUUUUGUGACUGAGUGGCGGACGGGUGAGUAACGCGUGGGUAACCUGCCUUGUACAGGGGGAUAACAGUUGGAAACGGCUGCUAAUACCGCAUAAGCGCACAGCAUCGCAUGAUGCAGUGUGAAAAACUCCGGUGGUGUAAGAUGGACCCGCGUUGGAUUAGCUAGUUGGUGAGGUAACGACCCACCAAGGCGACGAUCCAUAGCCGACCUGAGAGGGUGACCGGCCACAUUGGGACUGAGACACGGCCCAAACUCCUACGGGAGGCAGCAGUGGGGAAUAUUGCACAAUGGGCGAAAGCCUGAUGCAGCGACGCCGCGUGAGCGAAGAAGUAUUUCGGUAUGUAAAGCUCUAUCAGCAGGGAAGAUAAUGACGGUACCUGACUAAGAAGC
rnacentral:rRNA from 1 species